rnacentral:ribozyme from 1 species
AAAACAAAACAAAAUAGAACAAAAAAAACAAAACAGGAAACAAAGCUAGUCGUCUGUCUCUCUCCCCUUCCCCUCCCCUCUUUCCCCUCUAUCCUACCUUCCCCUCCCCCCUUGUUGUUUCUCUUCCAUCAUCAUAUUAUU